GUGAACGCUGGCGGCGUGCUUAACACAUGCAAGUCGAACGGAUGGAAUAAGCUUGCUUAUUUCGUUAGUGGCGCACGGGUGAGUAAUGUAUAGCUAACCUGCCCUUUAGUGGGGGACAACAGUUGGAAACGACUGCUAAUACCCCAUACUCCUUCUUAUCUUAAGAUAAGUUGGGAAAGAUUUAUUGCUAAAGGAUGGGGCUUUAUGGUAUCAGCUAGUUGGUGGGGUAACGGCCUACCAAGGCGAUGACGCCUACCUGGUCUGAGAGGAUGAUCAGGCACACUGGAACUGAGACACGGUCCAGACUCCUACGGGAGGCAGCAGUGGGGAAUAUUGCACAAUGGAGGAAACUCUGAUGCAGCAACGCCGCGUGGAGGAUGACGCAUUUCGGUGUGUAAACUCCUUUUAUAAGGGAAGAUAAUGACGGUACCUUAUGAAUAAGCACCGGCUAACUCCGU
rnacentral:rRNA from 1 species